UCUUUGCUAGUAUAUCGGAUAGUACAGCCGCCUGUCAAGCUUACGAUCCGCGGCAGAGCUGGGUUCGACUCCCAGGCAGAGAG